rnacentral:lncRNA from 1 species
UAUGAACAAAGGAAUCUAAUUGUUGAAGAGAAAUUUUUAAUAAACAAAAAUUCAGGAUUUGGUUCAAAUAAUAUCUCCACAGAACUAAGUAAAAGAAAAAACUAUCAAAAUGUUAAGUUCCCUUGAUAUUAUCGUUAUCCCAAUGUUCUUCUCAAGUAAAUUUCAGAAUAAGCUUGAUACCCUCUGUCCUACUUAGGCCAUUACAAUUUUAACUUUAUAGUAUAAAAGUUGUAAACCUUCUAUAAUUUUCAAAGUUUUCAACUCUAACAGAAGCAAAGAAGAUAAAGAAUAAUAAUAUACCAAUCCUAACUACUUUUGAUGAAACAUAAUUACACCUCUUAUUAUAAAACAAUUACUUCUCUGUUUUCAAAUGUACCAUCAGCCAAAUUAUUAUACAAGAAAAUCAAGAAGAGUUACUUUUACCAAAAUUGGACGUUGUAACUAUCUCAUGUAGACAAUUAAUAAUGACAUUAUGUGUGUUGAAGCUAGGAUGCCUCUUAUAUUUCAAACUUCUCUGGUAUUGAUUAUUGCAAAUAAUUUAAAAAAUCCAGUUGGACAAAUGUAGAGGUACACGUCAAAGUUAAUGUAACUGAUCAAGAUUUUAAAUGCCGCCAUUGAAGGCCAUUUUCAGGUGGUAUUAUAAAUUCUUUUAAUAGGUCGAUCAUCUUCUUUCCUAAACAUCAUCUUGUGGCUCCUUAUUAGGUUCGAGCACAAGCAAUUCAAAGGUAUUUCUAGAGACAAAUUCAACUUUCCGUAUUCAUUGACAACUUUAAGUCUUCCCUUGUCUUCAGAGACUAAGUAACACAGCUAAAACCCUUCCAAGUAGAACCUAUAAACGGGAAGCAAAAAAGAACAGUCAGGUACUAAUUUCCAACAUGUAAAGAGAAGCAACUUAUCACAGUAAAAAAAAGAUGAGGCAAUGUAACAUGGGAGAAAAAGCAAACCACUAAAUCUACUAUAAAAGUGAAACAAAGACAAUAACCUACCUAAAUUCAGCUAGUUGGAGAAGCUAGUUGUGCGUGCUACUCGAGCAACAAAUUUCUCUGAAAUCACACCCAAAAUAUUAGAACUUUGAUACAAAAAGAUAGCAGCUUGAAAAAGAGGUAAAUAAUAUUGUUCCUAACAGAAUAUUUUUAAACAAUCUUGAUUUAUUAUCAUCUCUGACUCUCUAGUAUGCAGUUUAUGUUUUGUGCUUGAUAUUAACCUGUUUGCAAGAAGUGAUAAAUUUUUAAUGAUAAGAGAGCUCUGAUUGAUAGAAACAUUGGCAGAAUCAGAGCACGAAGCAUUAGAUUAUUCAACGUUAAUUGAACUAUCAGAAAGACGCCGCAUUUUCAAUUCAAUUCUGCUUCCUCAUCUCAUGCUAAAGGGCCUCUUUUGUCAAAUUAUAUUUUUUCCAAUGUUUGCUUAUUUUUAUGAUUUUUAUUCGUAUUCGAUAUCUCUGCAGCUAUUUAGGGAAUAUUUUUCUAAAGAACAAGUCUUUAGAAAAGAGUAAAGUGAAAUUUGAGUUGAGAAGACCAAACAAAAAGGAAAUAAAAAUCAAAUUAAUUGAAAUCUUAAUCCAAUUGCUUAGACCACAACUUAAAGUAGAAAGUAUAUUGGUAGAUAUCUUGCAUAUGAAAACAAAUGGCAUGAGAUAUAAAGAGAAACAAAGGGCACACAAAAAAAAUCGAAAAUAAAGAGCAGCAACAACAAAGGAGAAUCGCAGACAAAAUAUGAAAAAUAAAAUAGAAAAAACAAAUAAAAUCAAAAAUAGAAGAGACACUAACCUGAAUUUGUAAUACCCAAAGUAGAAAGGUCGAAAGAAAGAAGUGAGGAGAAGAUUGAAAGAGAAGAAAAUGCUGAAGAACAAUCGAGAAGCAGUCAAUUUUCAGAGAACAUGAAAUGAAAAUGCUGAAGAACAAUCGAGAAGCAGUCAAUUUUCAGAGAACAUGAAAUAUUAAUGGAGUUAUUGAUUGAGUGAAAUGACAGUUUUACCCUUGAGCAAAAUUUAUAAUUAUGCCAUUGGUCGAUCAUACUUGGCUUUUCUAUAUAAUAUAAUAAAAUAAAAUAAUUUACUGUAUUUAGCUUUUCUCUCUUUCCUUUUUUCUUUAAAUUUUAUUUUCUUGCCUUAAUUAUCCUACUCAUUUCUUACUAAUUAUCAUAGACAAUCUCUUCCCUAAUUACUCAAAUCAUAAAGUAUUUCUUCUCUUAAAGAACGAAUUUUAGCAGAAGAUUUGGGUACGAAUCUCUUUGGAGAAUCAGUCUAUGUUCAAGAUGUCACCAUAUAGUUAAGAAUUUCGAAUUUCUCGCGAGUUUCACUCUCUCUAUUAUCAAGUUUGAUUUGAUAUAAUUUUUUCAGAGAAUCUCAAUCUUGUAAGUUUCUUUCCUUCUUGACAUGAUUUCUUGCUCUAAUUAUAUAGUGGUCGAAUUUGACAUAUACUUUUUUAUAUAUAGAAAGAAUCACAUUUUUCCCAAAGUUGUGGCCUCCGAUUUCUGCUAAUUGAUUAUGUCAAACACUAAUUUUUAGCCUUAAUUUCUGUUCUUUUAACUUAGAGCAUUAAUAAUUUUUUAGCUAUAAGUACUACUAUUGUUAAGGCAGUGGAGGGAGGCUUUUGAUCACUGCUUUAACCUCUGCUUCACUGCUACUAUAGUUUUUUUUUUCUUUUCGCUACUUCUAUGCUUUGCCGACCAUAAGUCAAGGCAAAGCUUGGUUUUUUAAUUAGUUUGAUACAAUCUGGAUGUAUCGAAUUCGAGUAUUGGUUUCUCAUUAUUGUUGUUCAAAUUUUCGCACGUAUUACUGCAUACUUUGGAGAGUAUCUGGCUUAUUUGUUGCUGUUGAAGUUAUUGGAUUUCUAAUCUUCUUAUUAUAUUGUUAUUCCGCUCUCCAACUGGUUAGUUCCGUGAACGACGCAUCAUAAUUUCUUUAUGUUAAUUGUAUGGUAGAAUAGACUAGUUUUUUGUCCUCUGCUCUCUUAAAAUUUUCGUCUCUUUUAUUCUAUUUGUGCGCUGUAUUUGCUAUGUGCGUUUGUUGCUUCUGUUCGGUUGUAGGGGCCUAGACUUGACAAUUUUGGCCAAAGUUCAACUCUUCACACCUGAGUUUGGAGUAACAGGGGGAUUAGGAAAGCUCAUAAGAGUCUAUGAGGAGUCUGCCAAAGUUUGAAGUUCAGUUAGUUAAUUUCCUAGACUAUAGUUAUAAGCUUUAUUCAGAUAGCAUGUAAUAACUGAAUGUAAUAGUGAAACGAGGCUACUUGGGAUAAGGGAUAUUUGAUGCUUGUGUACUAUGUGAUUACCUGCUGUUAUUUGCUUUCAUUUCUUCUUGAAAACCUGUUAACACGUUAAAUUGGAUAGCUUUUGCAUUUGAGCUUUCUGUGGUGUCUUGGUCCUUAAUAAAGUUUUCUUACUAGUAUGUUGGGCUCACUUUAAAAGAUAAAGAUUGUAAGUUUUUGCACGAAAGGGUAUUUUCGUAUUGUGAGGAUGAGUGAUAGUGCAGGAUGGGUGUUUUCAUGCUAUGAGGAUGAGUGAUAUUGCAGGAAGAGUAUUUCCAUGCAGAUGAGGAUUAGAGAUAUUAGCACGAUGGGUAUUUCCAUGCGUUUUGAUAUGAUAUUAGCACGAUGGGUGUUUCCAUGCAAUAUGAUAUAAUAGUGGCAUGAUGGGUAUUUCUGUACAGUGAGGAUGAGAGUUCAUGUACGAUGAAUGCUUCAGUGCAGGCGAAGAUGGGAGUCAUGCAUUAUAUUAUGUUUAUUCCUCAUAUACACAUAUAUUUAUCCUACCUUAUUUGUUACUAUUACAUAUACGCAUCCUACCUUGUUUGCCACUGUUACAAUAUAUGUAUCCUACCUUUAUUGCUAUUGUUACAUAUAUGCAUCCUACCUUUAUUGCUACUGUUACAUAUAUGUAUCCUUCCUUAUUUGUUAUUAUUACACAUAUGCAUCUUACCUUAUUUGUUACCGUUACAAAUAUGCAUAAUAAGGAUGAGAGUUAUUGGCACAUUAUUUUUUUGUGCAUGUGAGGGUUAGAGUUAUUGGCACGAUGAGUGUUUUCAUGCGAUGAGGAUGAGAGUUAUUAGCACAAUAGGUGUUUUUGUGUGAUUUGAUAUGAUUAUGACUCUUGUGUGGUCCUUUCAGUGAUAUGAUUAAUUAUAUGAGUUUUGGUCAUGCAUUAACAUUUCAUAUUCAUGUAGACGCAUUCAUAUAAAUGCUAUUUGAAAGUUGAUGUGAAAUUGAAUCUUGUACCCACAUACACAGUCUAUAUUCACGUAGAAGUAUUCGAGUAAAUAUUACUUGGUAUACAUCUCCUUUGUAUAUGGAUUUGGUACAUUCAUAUAUGCUUUUGACCUGUUUAUUUAUAAUAAAAAAAACAUGUUGUUAUCUUCUUCCUUCAAUGUGCACCUUCUUGUUGAUAUCCGCUAUUUAUUAGCUAUUUCUUGGCUAUUUUUUGUUAUUGUAUACCGCUUAUGAGCUGCACAUGUUACACAAAGUGAGUAUCUUUUGUCUAAACCUCGCUAAUAUUUUGCUGAGGUCACUUAAGAUACUUACUGAGUAUAUUGGAUUGGUUCUACUCAUACUACACUUCUACACCUUAUAUGCAAAUUUUGGAGCUAAGCGGCUACAAAGUUCGAGGAUGUACAUCGAAGACUUCAACGUUCCAGUCUUUAACUACCAUCUUGUUCAUGGUAGUUUAGAAUUAUUUUCUGUUUAUGUAUAUUCAAACAUAUGAUGUAUUUCUUCUUGCCAACGUUGUAAAUUCCAAAUCUUAGUUGCUCAUGACUUGUACUAUCAAUUCUUAAGGAUAGUUAUAUUAAUUUC